rnacentral:rRNA from 1 species
AUGGCGCCCAUCCGCCCCGGCUCCCCGGGACCUGCCCUGCUCGGCACGCCGCCGACGACCACAUCCCACCUCACGUCAAGCACCUCCGGCGGCAAAGAGGUCAGCGCCAGCCGGCAGCCCAACUUGCGCACCGUCCCCGUCAGGCGUCAGCACACCGGGCUCGACCUCGCGCGCCGCAACACCGCCCACGCCUCCAGACGGGUCGGGGUACCUUGCCCGCUAGACGGCCGCCGAGACGCUAGGGCCACGCCCAACGAGCACAACCCGCACGCUGUCUGCAUCUUCGACGAAGGCGGUGGCAGCACCCUGCCCAGAGUUGACCGCGGCAAGCGCGAGGAGUUAUGGCGAGAGUCCGAACACAAGCAGCCUGCUAGACGCGCGCGCGGCCACGACGGAGCGGAGCAGCGGGAAAUCCUUAGCGUUGAGGCCGUCCGUGGACCAGAGGUGAAGAGCGAGGAGGUGGUGGUCCGAGACACAGCCUAG